AAUAGAUACUCUGGUAGUCCACGCCGUAAACGAUGAGUGCUAAGUGUUAGGGGGUUUCCGCCCUUAGUGCUGCAGCUAACGCAUUAAGCACUCCGCCUGGGGAGUACGGCCGCAAGGCUGAAACUCAAAGGAAUUGACGGGGGCCCGCACAAGCGGUGGAGCAUGUGGUUUAAUUCGAAGCAACGCGAAGAACCUUACCAGGUCUUGACAUCCUCUGACAACCCUAGAGAUAGGGCGUUCCCCUUCGGGGGACAGAGUGACAGGUGGUGCAUGGUUGUCGUCAGCUCGUGUCGUGAGAUGUUGGGUUAAGUCCCGCAACGAGCGCAACCCUUGAUCUUAGUUGCCAGCAUUUAGUUGGGCACUCUAAGGUGACUGCCGGUGACAAACCGGAGGAAGGUGGGGAUGACGUCAAAUCAUCAUGCCCCUUAUGACCUGGGCUACACACGUGCUACAAUGGAUGGUACAAAGGGCUGCCAAACCGCGAGGUUGAGCGAAUCCCAUAAAACCAUUCUCAGUUCGGAUUGCAGGCUGA
rnacentral:rRNA from 1 species